AGGGCGACAUUUUUAUUUUCACCUGUUUUUAAGUUGAUAUAUGAUGGCUUCAAAUUGGUAUUAACUUUUUGUUCUUGUCGUUGCUCCCGUGCUAAGGCCUUGGCGGAGGUCUGCCUUUGAUUGGAAUAAACUUAUCAGGGGCAUCGUGAGUCAGCAGUAUUUCAUCCGCUUAUCCUGAAGAGACUGGAACACGUGAACGCCGUGGAUGCACUUUGUCCUCGCUCACGCUGGUCUAUCUGCGCUUUUUUCCUCAAUACGUCUUCGGGGACCUCCAACGUAUGGAUGGAUGGAAGGUCCCGCCGGGAGACGGAGUGCAAGGGUGUAGCUGAUGAUCCUAUACACCAUAGCAGAGAGAGCGAGAGCGGCAAGAGGAGCCACGUCAAGUGUCACCGCUCCGCCACCCCGACUUGAGCGCCGCCGCGUCAAGGCCAGUUGUUUGCCUCGCCAAGCCGACCGGCCCGUGCCGCCCGCCCAGCCGGGCCUUGUCUGCCCUACCCUGCCCUGCCCAGCUGGCAUCCUGCAGGAGUCAUCAGGG